rnacentral:rRNA from 1 species
GAUGAACGCUGGCGGCGUGCCUAAUACAUGCAAGUCGAGCGAAUGGAUUGAGAGCUUGCUCUUAUGAAGUUAGCGGCGGACGGGUGAGUAACACGUGGGUAACCUGCCCAUAAGACUGGGAUAACUCCGGGAAACCGGGGCUAAUACCGGAUAACAUUUUGGACCGCAUGGUUCGAAAUUGAAAGGCGGCUUCGGCUGUCGCUUAUGGAUGGACCCGCGUCGCAUUAGCUAGUUGGUGAGGUAACGGCUCACCAAGGCAACGAUGCGUAGCCGACCUGAGAGGGUGAUCGGCCACACUGGGACUGAGACACGGCCCAGACUCCUACGGGAGGCAGCAGUAGGGAAUCUUCCGCAAUGGACGAAAGUCUGACGGAGCAACGCCGCGUGAGUGAUGAAGGCUUUCGGGUCGUAAAACUCUGUUGUUAGGGAAGAACAAGUGCUAGUUGAAUAAGCUGGCACCUUGACGGUACCUAACCAGAAAGCCACGGCUAACUACGUGCCAGCCGCCGCGGUAA